rnacentral:rRNA from 1 species
UACGAAGGGGGCAAGCGUUGUUCGGAAUUACUGGGCGUAAAGGGCGCGUAGGCGGCUUAUCAAGUCAGGCGUGAAAUUCCCGGGCUCAACCUGGGGGCUGCGCUUGAUACUGAUUGGCUUGAAUGCGGGAGAGGAUAGUGGAAUUCCCAGUGUAGAGGUGAAAUACGUAGAGAUUGGGAAGAACACCAGUGGCGAAGGCGGCUAUCUGGACGGUUUCUGACGCUAAGACGCGAAAGCGUGGGGAGCAAACAGG